AAUCAACGCUGGCGGCGUGCCUCAGACAUGCAAGUCGAACGAGAACCUCCCUUCGGGGAGGGACAGUGGCGCACGGGUGAGUAACACGUGGGUAAUUUACCUUUGGGUGGGGAACAACAGCCGGAAACGGCUGCUAAUACCGCAUAAUGCAGCGGCUCGACAUCGAGACAGUUGUUAAAGCGGGGGAUCGCAAGACCUCGCGCCUGAAGAGAAGCCUGCGGCGGAUUAGCAGUUGGUAGGGUAAUGGCCUACCAAGGCGACGAUCUGUAACCGGCCUGAGAGGGCGGUCGGUCACACUGACACUGACAUACGGGUCAGACUCCUACGGGAGGCAGCAGUCGGGAAUUUUGGGCAAUGGGCGAAAGCCUGACCCAGCAACGCCGCGUGAAGGAUGAAGCUUUUCGGAGUGUAAACUUCAUAAGAAUGGGAGGAAUAAGUGC
rnacentral:rRNA from 1 species